UACCAGCACCCCGAGUGGUCGGGACGAUUAUUGGGCCUAAAGCAUCCGUAGCCGGCCUUACAAGUCCUCCGUUAAAUCCAGCUGCUUAACAGAUGGGCUGCGGAGGAUACUAUAAGACUAGGAGGCAGGAGAGGCAAGCGGUACUCAGUGGGUAGGGGUAAAAUCCGUUGAUCCAUUGAAGACCACCAGUGGCGAAGGCGGCUUGCCAGAAUGCGCUCGACGGUGAGGGAGUGAAAGCUGGGGGAGCAAACCGG
rnacentral:rRNA from 1 species